AAAGCAGGUCUGCAAUUGCAGCACUCCAUUGCAGUGGAGUACUGUCAUUAACCCUGCUGAGAGCAUCUUUCUGCGGUAGAGCUCUCACUCCUUGCUGUGAUGGGGAUGAGGAAGCUCUGCAGCUGAACAU
ensembl:snoRNA